UACGUAGGGCGCAAGCGUUGUCCGGAAUUACUGGGCGUAAAGGGCUCGUAGGUGGCCAACUAAGUCAGACGUGAAAUCCCUCGGCUUAACCGGGGAACUGCGUCUGAUACUGGAUGGCUUGAGUUUGGGAGAGGGAUGCGGAAUUCCAGGUGUAGCGGUGAAAUGCGUAGAUAUCUGGAGGAACACCGGUGGCGAAAGCGGCAUCCUGGACCAACACUGACGCUGAUGAGCGAAAGCCAGGGGAGCAAACGGG
rnacentral:rRNA from 1 species